rnacentral:rRNA from 1 species
UACGUAGGGUGCGAGCGUUGUCCGGAAUUAUUGGGCGUAAAGAGCUCGUAGGCGGCUUGUCACGUCGGUUGUGAAAGCCCGGGGCUUAACCCCGGGUCUGCAGUCGAUACGGGCAGGCUAGAGUUCGGUAGGGGAGAUCGGAAUUCCUGGUGUAGCGGUGAAAUGCGCAGAUAUCUGGAGGAAUACCGGUGGCGAAGGCGGCAUCCUGGACCGGCAUUGACGCUGAUGAGCGAAAGCUAGGGGAGCAAACGGG